rnacentral:rRNA from 1 species
UUAUCCGGAUUUACUGGGUGUAAAGGGCGUGUAGCCGGGAGGGCAAGUCAGAUGUGAAAUCCACGGGCUUAACUCGUGAACUGCAUUUGAAACUGUUCUUCUUGAGAAUCGGAGAGGCAAUCGGAAUUCCUAGUGUAGCGGUGAAAUGCGUAGAUAUUAGGAGGAACACCAGUGGCGAAGGCGGAUUGCUGGACGACAACUGACGGUGAGGCGCGAAAGCGUGGGGAGCAAACAGGAUUAGAUACCCUGGUAGUCCGCGCUGUAAACGAUGAAUACUAGGUGUGCGGGGACUGACCCCCUGCGUGCCGCAGUUAACACAAUAAGUAUUCCACCUGGGGAGUACGAUCGCAAGGUUGAAACUCAAAGGAAUUGACGGGGGCCCGCACAAGCGGUGGAUUAUGUGGUUUAAUUCGAAGCAACGCGAAGAA